AGUAAUGUCUCUGCUUUUGAAUAUGCUACCUAGGUUGAUCAUAACUUUUCGAAGCAAUAGUGGAGGACAAUUUUGUAAAUUAAAAAAAAACAAAACUUUUGUGUUUUCAGCAUCCCAUUUGCCCAAAGGUAUAAAAAGUGAAUUAGGAAGAGGUGAUGGACCAGGGAUUGAACCAGCACCCCCAGAACUGGAAGCUCAGAGGCUAAACUACUGAACCAUCAUGGAAUCCCAAGGGAACAGAAAAGUCUUGAGAGAUUUUCCCAAGUGUCAUUCAGUGACAAAAGAAGAACUUUAACCAUCAUUCAAAUUUAAAAGAUAGUGGAGGACAAUUUUGUAAAUUAAAAAAAAAAAAAACUUUUGUGUUUUCAGCAUACCAUUUACCCAAAGGUAUAAAAGUGAGUCAAGAUGAGGUGAUGGAGGUUUCAAGGACAGUAUUUUUAAAGCUGUUUGGCAGAGACAGAGAGGCAUUGUGGUUUGAUGAGAUGAUCAACAGCUCCUUUAGGAUAGGGGAAAUUGAAGCAUGGUCAUGAGUUGAGAAGAAAGAGAUUCUAAAACCGAGGUAAAACAACAAAUGUUCAGGAACAGCAGGAAGGGAAUGCUGAAAAGGCAAGGUCACAAAGAACAGAGAAGACAAAGUCAAGAACGUUAUCAUUGCCAAAGAAAGACUCUUCUUCCUUUGAAAGAUGGGAGGAGGGGAGAAAAUGAGUGAAUGUUCAGGGACAUUUUGAUCUAGAAGGACAAGGAAACAAAAUAGUUUACUGUGAAUUGGCUUUGAUCAUCCUGGUGCUCUAUGAGGAAAGUUCAUCUUCUAAAAAGGAAGGCAGUGGGUGGUUUUACUACUCUGGAGGGCAGAAUUAGGACCACUGUGAACAGGUCAGAGAGAGAUUUAUUUAGGGUCAAUAUAAGAAAAAACUUAUUUAAAACCAGCACUAGUGGAAAGUGGAGCUGGCCUUCUUAUCAAGGUGUAAGUUGCGAAAACAGAGUGUUUUGGUUGGGGAUAGAUGAACAACUGUUGCAAUGCUGUCAGGAGGGACUGCAAACCCAUGGUUUCCAAGACGCCUCAUGUAUAUCAUUCAUUCUCAAUGCUAUAUUUUGUUGGUUUUUUCAUGUCAACAAUUCAGGUGUCACUGCUACCGAAUACAAGAAAAAGAAGCCCAUGAGGACUGGAAGAGGAAACAUAAAGAAAAGAUGUGUUAUAUUGAUACAAUGUCUUUCUUUCCUAAGGAGAAAAAUCAUAUUUUCAUAG
rnacentral:lncRNA from 1 species